UGGCGGCGUGCCUAACACAUGCAAGUCGAACGGGUACUGGCAGCGGAGAUUCGGUCAAAGCAGCUUUAACCUAGUGGCGGACGGGUGAGUAACGCGUGGGGAACCUGCCCUGUACUGGGGGAGUAACAGUGAGAAAUCACUGCUAAUACCGCAUAAGCGCACAGCGUCGCAUGAUGCAGUGUGAAAAAACUGAGGUGGUACAGGAUGGCUCCGCGUUGGAUUAGCCAGUUGGCGGGGUAACGGCCCACCAAAGCGUCGAUCCAUAGCCGGCCUGAGAGGGUGAACGGCCACAUUGGGACUGAGACACGGCCCGGACUCCUACGGGAGGCAGCAGUGGGGAAUAUUGCACAAUGGGGGAAACCCUGAUGCAGCCGACGCCGCGUGAAGGAAGAAGUAUCUCGGUAUGUAAACUUCUAUCAGCAGGGAAGAUGAUGACGGUACCUGACUAAGAAGCCCCGGCUAACUACGUGCCAGCCGCAGC
rnacentral:rRNA from 1 species